AUCUGAAAAAGGCAAAACCAUCGAAAGGUGGUGACGCAAAGUUACCGGUCUACGGGAGCCAGCCUCCUAUGACAGCGGGAUUGCCAGU
rnacentral:ncRNA from 1 species